UGUGGCUUCUAAGCACCUGGGUAGACCAAGAAAGUGCAUGAUUUAAUUGGAUUCAUGGUCCAGGUGCUCUGUUUUCCAUAGCACAUCUAUGCAUCAACUGUUCGUUGAAAUGCGUACCUAGGAUAUAAAUGAUAUUACCAAUAGUUUGCACAUUAUUCCAUUAUUAAAAAAUAGCAGUAAUUAGUCGCGCACACUACCUAGACUCAUUUGUGCUGGUAGCUUGUUGCAAUUUAACAGUACAUUUAGCUUUUGCACUGCUCUCUGUUCCCUAGAAGCUGACUCUUUGUAUUCUUUUAUCUGACUUGCAGAGCAUCACAUUUCAGUGUGAAUAAGGAGAAGAGUAACAAUAAUGGUUUUUACCAUUUAAUCUAACCCAUGAUUUUCCUGUUUAUACAAUAAGUGCACAUUGGUAAAAGAAUAAAUCUUGCUAUCUAAUUUAAGGAUGCAUGCUCCUUGGAAAUUUAAUAACUCGGCUCAUAAAUAAAUGUGGGAUCUGUUUGCUUCAUGCAUAUGUUCAGCUCUGAAUGUCUAUUGCAUGAUAUUAUGGUUCUAAAAGAAACAUAGUGGUGCAUUGAUCUAUUGCAUUCUCACUUGAUGAUUGAAACCAAAGGGCUGGUUAGGCUUCAAGCCAUUUUAAAAGGGCUGGUUAGGCUGGCACAUGAUUUGAUUACAGAUUACCAUAUUUUCCUAUAGAAACAUAUCGUGCUCUUGUUAGAAAAUAACUGACAUGGUCGUGCAACAAUUUAGUUUGUGAGCUUUUAGUUUUUUCGUGCAACAAUUUAGUUUGUUUGUGAACUUUUAGCGUAGUAUUAAAUUACAGAAUGGCUGGUGUGAUAGUAUUGGUUCUGUGGAAGAUAUCCAAACAAAACUUUUAAAGUGGCAGGAAGCUGCAGCUAAACGCGAGCGAGCCAUGGCCUAGGCUCUUACUCAUCAGGUAUUUUGUGACAAUCUUGAAAUAGAAACACCUGCAGAAAUAACUGUGAUUGAAGUCAGCAAGCUAAGUUGGAAACAAAACACAUGCUUUUGCUAAGUCAAAGCUAAGCAACAAGGUGGCAUGUUAGCUUCUGGUGGAACUUCAACCUUUUGCAAGAACAAAACUUUGCUGUUGUAGCUUCAUGUACCUUUGGUUGUUUCUGCUCCUUUUUGUUGUCUUUUGUCCUAAGCCUUUUUAUUGUUUCUGAUCCUUGAAUGUUGGGAUGCUAGUGCUACUGGUUGGAAAGACUGUAUGUGAUCCCUUAUUUUGAUGUUAUUCUGGAUGGAAUAUGGAAUAUUAUGGUCAUAUAUUUUGGUCUGGUA